AUAAAAUUGACAGAACACCUGGUGGACUGGAAGAAUGCUGUAACAUUAACAUCUAACAAAUCCAUCGUCGAAUGCAACAAUUUUGAGUCUCGUCUCAUCAAAGCAUGAAUUGCAGUGUACCACUUAUAUGGGCCCAGGUGGCUACGCACAAUAAGUGUCAUCUUGUUUCUAAAUAAACAAGACCUGCUGGCAGAAAAGAUCCGUGCAGGCAAGAGUAAGCUGGAAGAAUAUUUCCCCGAUUUUUCCCGUUACCAGACCCCAUUAGAUGCCAGUGUUGAACCUGGGGAAGAUCCAGAAGUGGUACGCGCAAAGUACUUCAUCAGGGACGAAUUUCUAAGGAUAAGUACAGCCAGUGGGGAUGGAAAACAUUAUUGCUACCCUCACUUCACAGCGCCGUGGACACUGAAAACAUCCGCCGAGUGUUCAACGACUGCAGGGACAUAAUACAAAGGAUGCAUCUCAGACAAUAUGAACUUUUUGUGAUGGCCAGUAGGUGUGGGUACUGUGGGCGGCAACAGUAUCGCUCCGUGCGAGCGACCGAGGC